rnacentral:rRNA from 1 species
UACGUAGGGGGCAAGCGUUGUCCGGAAUUAUUGGGCGUAAAGAGCGCGUAGGCGGUCCGAUAAGUCGGCUGUGAAAGUCAGGGGCUCAACCCUUGGAAGCCGGCCGAUACUGUCGGACUAGAGUCCGGAAGAGGCGAGUGGAAUUCCCGGUGUAGCGGUGAAAUGCGCAGAUAUCGGGAGGAACACCUGUGGCGAAAGCGGCGCACUGGACCAUAACUGACGCUGAGGCGCGAAAGCGUGGGGAGCGAACAGG